rnacentral:rRNA from 1 species
UACGAAGGUCCCAAGCGUUAUCCGGAUUUAUUGGGCUUAAAGGGUGCGUAGGCGGGUUAUUAAGUCAGUGGUGAAAGCCUUCAGCUCAACUGAAGAACUGCCAUUGAUACUGAUGAUCUUGAGUACGAUUGAGGUAGGCGGAAUGUGUCAUGUAGCGGUGAAAUGCUUAGAUAUGACACAGAACACCGAUUGCGAAGGCAGCUUACUAAGUCGUAACUGACGCUGAUGCACGAAAGCGUGGGGAGCAAACAGG